UGAGGUGAACAUGUAAUAUAU
rnacentral:miRNA from 1 species